ACCCUUAGGAAAAGAAAUCAAUUGAGAUUCCCUCAGUAGCGGCGAGCGAACGGGGAUCAGCCCAUUAAGUUAUGUGUGUUUUAGUGGAACGCUCUGGGAAGUGCGAACGUAGAGGGUGAUAUUCCCGUACACGAAAGGGCACACAUAAUGAUGACGAGUAGGGCGAGGCACGUGAAACCUUGUCUGAAUAUGGGGGGACCAUCCUCCAAGGCUAAAUACUCCUGACUGACCGAUAGUGAACCAGUACCGUGAGGGAAAGGCGAAAAGAACCCCUGUGAGGGGAGUGAAAUAGAUCCUGAAACCGCAUGCAUACAAGCAGUGGGAGCACCUUCGUGGUGUGACUGCGUACCUUUUGUAUAAUGGGUCAGCGACUUAUAUUCAGUAGCGAGGUUAACCGUAUAGGGGAGCCGUAGAGAAAUCGAGUCUUAAUAGGGCGUUUAGUUGCUGGGUAUAGACCCGAAACCAGGCGAUCUAUCCAUGAGCAGGUUGAAGGUUGGGUAACACUAACUGGAGGACCGAACCCACUGUCGUUGAAAAGCCAGGGGAUGACUUGUGGAUAGGGGUGAAAGGCUAAUCAAGCCUGGUGAUAGCUGGUUCUCCCCGAAAGCUAUUUAGGUAGCGCCUCGGACGAAUACCAUAGGGGGUAGAGCACUGUUUCGGCUAGGGGGUCAUCCCGACUUACCAAACCGAUGCAAACUCCGAAUACCUAUGAGUACUAUCCGGGAGACAGACUGCGGGUGCUAACGUCCGUAGUCAAGAGGAAAACAAUCCAGACCGCCAGCUAAGGCCCCAAAAUCAUAGUUAAGUGGGAAACGAUGUGGGAAGGCAUAGACAGCUAGGAGGUUGGCUUAGAAGCAGCCACCCUUUAAAGAAAGCGUAAUAGCUCACUAGUCGAGUCGGCCUGCGCGGAAGAUGUAACGGGGCUAAAACUAUGUGCCGAAGCUGCGGAUGUAUACUUUGUAUACGUGGUAGGGGAGCGUUCUGUAAGCCGAUGAAGGUGUGUUGAGAAGCAUGCUGGAGGUAUCAGAAGUGCGAAUGCUGACGUGAGUAACGACAAAACGGGUGAAAAACCCGUUCGCCGAAAGACCAAGGGUUCCAGUCCAACGUUAAUCGGGGCUGGGUGAGUCGACCCCUAAGGCGAGGCCGAAAGGCGUAGUCGAUGGGAAAAUGGUUAAUAUUCCAUUACUUCUGUGUAAUGCGAUGAGAGGACGGAGAAGGCUAAAUCAGCCUGGCGUUGGUUGUCCAGGUGAAAGGAUGUAGGCAUGUAUCUUAGGCAAAUCCGGGGUACUCUAUGCUGAGAUCUGAUAGCAAGCUGUACUUGUACAGCGAAGUGGUUGAUGCCAUGCUUCCAGGAAAAGUCUCUAAGCUUCAGUUACACAGGAAUCGUACCCGAAACCGACACAGGUGGUCAGGUCGAGUAGACCAAGGCGCUUGAGAGAACUCUGCUGAAGGAACUAGGCAAAAUGGUACCGUAACUUCGGGAGAAGGUACGCUGUUGUUGGUGAUGGAACUCGCUUCCUGAGCUGACGACAGCCGCAGAAACCAGGCCGCUGCAACUGUUUAUUAAAAACAUAGCACUCUGCAAACACGAAAGUGGACGUAUAGGGUGUGAUGCCUGCCCGGUGCUGGAAGGUUAAUUGAUGGGGUUAGCGUAAGCGAAGCUCUUGAUCGAAGCCCCAGUAAACGGCGGCCGUAACUAUAACGGUCCUAAGGUAGCGAAAUUCCUUGUCGGGUAAGUUCCGACCUGCACGAAUGGCAUAAUGAUGGCGGCGCUGUCUCCAGCAGAGGCUCAGUGAAAUCGAAAUCGCUGUGAAGAUGCAGUGUACCCGCGGCUAGACGGAAAGACCCCGUGAACCUUUACUGCAGCUUGACACUGAACUUUGACCUUACUUGUGUAGGAUAGGUGGGAGGCUUUGAAGCUGGAACGCUAGUUCCAGUGGAGCCGUCCUUGAAAUACCACCCUGGUAAUGUUGAGGUUCUAACUCUGUCCCGUGAUCCGGGACGAGGACCGUGUCUGGUGGGUAGUUUGACUGGGGCGGUCUCCUCCUAAAGAGUAACGGAGGAGUACGAAGGUGCGCUCAGCGUGGUCGGAAAUCACGCGUAGAGUAUAAAGGCAAAAGCGCGCUUAACUGCGAGACCCACAAGUCGAGCAGGUACGAAAGUAGGUCUUAGUGAUCCGGUGGUUCUGUAUGGAAGGGCCAUCGCUCAACGGAUAAAAGGUACUCUGGGGAUAACAGGCUGAUACCGCCCAAGAGUUCAUAUCGACGGCGGUGUUUGGCACCUCGAUGUCGGCUCAUCUCAUCCUGGGGCUGAAGCAGGUCCCAAGGGUAUGGCUGUUCGCCAUUUAAAGAGGUACGCGAGCUGGGUUUAGAACGUCGUGAGACAGUUCGGUCCCUAUCUACCGUGGGCGCUGGAAAUUUGAGAGGAUCUGCUCCUAGUACGAGAGGACCAGAGUGGACGAACCUCUGGUGUACCGGUUGUGACGCCAGUCGCAUCGCCGGGUAGCUAUGUUCGGAAGGGAUAACCGCUGAAAGCAUCUAAGCGGGAAGCCUACCUCAAGAUAAGAUUUCCCUAGGACUUUAUGUCCUCUAAAGAGCCGUUCGAGACUAGGACGUUGAUAGGUUGGAUGUGGAAGCAUAGUGAUAUGUGAAGCUGACCAAUACUAAUUGCUCGUGAGGCUUGACUAU
rnacentral:rRNA from 1 species